rnacentral:rRNA from 1 species
UCAUGUUACACUAGCUCUCUGCAACUCUCACAUGGUCGCCCACUGAAGCUAAGCAGAGCUGCAUCCGGUCAGUAGAUGGAUGGGAGACCACAUGGGAAAGCUAGGUUGCUGCCGGAA